ACAAACGCUGGCGGCGUGCCUAACACAUGCAAGUCGAACGGAGGCGGCAGCAAUGCAGCCUUAGUGGCGGACGGGUGAGUAACACGUGGGCAACCUGCCUUUGACCGGGGGAUAACACUGGGAAACUAGUGCUAAUACCGCAUAACACACAGGAGCGGCAUCGGUUCUGUGUCAAAGGAGAAAUCCGGUUAAAGAUGGGCCCGCGUCCGAUUAGCUGGUUGGCGGGGUGAAAGCCCACCAAGGCGACGAUCGGUAGCCGGACUGAGAGGUUGGACGGCCACAUUGGGACUGAGACACGGCCCAGACUCCUACGGGAGGCAGCAGUGGGGAAUAUUGCUCAAUGGAGGAAACUCUGAAGCAGUGACGCCGCGUGAAGGAUGAAGGUUUUCGGAUUGUAAACUUCUUUGAUUGGGGACGAAUAAAGUGACGGUACCCAAAAAACAAGCCACGGCUAACUACGU
rnacentral:rRNA from 1 species